CAAAGAUACCGGAUCUUGUUUGGCCUGGAGUUCCCCAGUUAGGCUGAGCUGGCUGUGUUCGUCCUCUCCUGCUCCUCAGUCUUGGGAUUAUGCUCCUCCACUCCAGGCUUUUCUACACAGUUCUGGACUGAAGCUGGGUCUUCAUGCUUGAAAGCAAGCACUCUUCCCACUGCCCACCCGCUUCCCUGCCCUGUCUCUCUUUCCUUUCUUCACCUUUACUAAAGAUGCAUUUCACAUGCCACAGGAUUCGCCGUGUAAGGCGUACAGCUCAGUGCUGGCUUGAAUAUUCAGAGUUGAACAGAUAUCUAAUUUUAGACCACUGCACCGUCUUCAGAAGAAACCCCAUCCAUCAAGAGUCAGUCCUGUCUCUGCUCCCCUCUUACUGUCUGGGGUUGGGUUUUAAUGUGUUGUAUGUUUACGUGGUUCAGAACUGAAGAUGACAGAGAGCUGUAAAGCAGGUUGCAAAAUACCCGGGAAGUUCUAGCACUUACUCCAUGCCUUCUACAUACCUCCCACAGGUAGCCAUUUUCAUAAGUUGUCUGUUUCCUGCAUUUCUUUAUGCAAAUACACGGGAAAUCCCACGUAAGAUUCCGACUCCCUACCCUCUCUUCACAGAAAGAUAAAGAUCCUUUGAGGGGGAAGCUAAUGUCCUUCGAAUCAUCAGUAAAACGGUUUCACUUGGGAGCUAGUAGUUUCAGGUUACUCGUGGCCCUCAGCAUCGUCACAGGAUUCAGCAUGGCCUCAGGUGGCUCUACAUGCUAGUCAUACCGAGUGGCCCCUGAGGCAGCAAAACCUGAGGACAUCACCAACGCAGCUGCGCAGAUCGCUUAAGUCCUCAUGGAUCUCAGGUUUCAUCUCUUCCUGAGGCAACCGCAUGGGCCACAGUCACCAACAUGGCCUCCAGUGGCUUCGGGGACCACUGUGGUCCUUCAGGGAGGUCCAAUCCAGUGAGUGAACCUUUCUUUAUCUCGAGCUUCCAUCCUUGCCCGGAUCCAGGGCGAUCCUGAAGCCGGGCAGCAGGUUCUGGGGCUGAGUCUGAAUAAGCUUCAGACUCUACUAGGCAAUGACAGCAUGUCCCCCUCAGCGCUCUCUCCCUGUCGCCACCAUCACAUCUCCAGUUCGGCUUCUCUUCAUGGUGUCCGCACUAUCUUUCUAUCUUUCCCACCCCUCCAUCACAUUGCUUAUUUUAGUGGUGCCUGCCUGUCCUCAAGUGCUUUCGUGGGUCGGGGUGGCGGGGGUGGAGGGGGUG
rnacentral:sRNA from 1 species